AAUCAACGCUGGCGGCGUGCCUCAGACAUGCAAGUCGAACGCGAAAUCCCGAGCAAUCGGGAGAGUAGAGUGGCGCACGGGUGAGUAACACGUAGGGUAAUCUACCUUCGGAUGGGGAAUAACAACCGGAAACGGUUGCUAAUACCGCAUAAUGCAGCGGCACCUAAUGGUGACAGUUGUUAAAGCGGGGGAUCGAAAGACCUCGCGUCUGAAGAGGAGCCUGCGGCGGAUUAGCUAGUUGGUAAGGUAAUGGCUUACCAAGGCAACGAUCCGUAACCGGCCUGAGAGGGCGGUCGGUCACACUGACACUGACAUACGGGUCAGACUCCUACGGGAGGCAGCAGUCGGGAAUUUUGGGCAAUGGGCGAAAGCCUGACCCAGCAACGCCGCGUGAAGGAUGAAAAU
rnacentral:rRNA from 1 species